rnacentral:rRNA from 1 species
CAAGCGGUGGAGCAUGUGGUUUAAUUCGAUGCAACGCGAAGAACCUUACCUAGUCUUGACAUCCACAGAAUUUUGCAGAGAUGCUAUAGUGCCUUCGGGAACUGUGAGACAGGUGCUGCAUGGCUGUCGUCAGCUCGUGUUGUGAAAUGUUGGGUUAAGUCCCGCAACGAGCGCAACCCUUAUCCUUUGUUGCCAUUGAUUCGGCCGGGAACUCAAAGGAGACUGCCGGUGAUAAACCGGAGGAAGGUGGGGAUGACGUCAAGUCAUCAUGGCCCUUACGACCAGGGCUACACACGUGCUACAAUGGCGCAUACAAAGAGAAGCGACCUCGCGAGAGCAAGCGGACCUCAUAAAGUGCGUCUAAGUCCGGAUUGGAGUCUGCAACUCGACUCCGUGAAGUCGGAAUCGCUAGUAAUCGUGAAUCAGAAUGCCACGGUGAAUACGUUCCCGGGCCUUGUACACACC